GAUUCGUCACACUAUCAUUAACUGAAUCCAUAGGUUAAUGAGGCGAACCGGGGGAACUGAAACAUCUAAGUACCCCGAGGAAAAGAAAUCAACCGAGAUUCCCCCAGUAGCGGCGAGCGAACGGGGAGGAGCCCAGAGCCUGAAUCAGCAUGUGUGUUAGUGGAAGCGUCUGGAAAGGCGCGCGAUACAGGGUGACAGCCCCGUACACAAAAGCGCAUGUGCUGUGAGCUCGAUGAGUAGGGCGGGACACGUGGUAUCCUGUCUGAAUAUGGGGGGACCAUCCUCCAAGGCUAAAUACUCCUGACUGACCGAUAGUGAACCAGUACCGUGAGGGAAAGGCGAAAAGAACCCCGGCGAGGGGAGUGAAAAAGAACCUGAAACCGUGUACGUACAAGCAGUGGGAGCACCCU
rnacentral:rRNA from 1 species